GAUGAACGCUAGCGGCAGGCUUAAUACAUGCAAGUCGUGGGGCAGCAGGGCUGUAGCAAUACAGUUGCUGGCGACCGGCAAACGGGUGCGUAACACGUACGCAACCUUCCCGUUACUGUGGCAUAGCCCAGGGAAACUUGGAUUAAUACCACAUAUUAUAUUGGAGAGGCAUCUCUCUGAUAUCAAAGCUUCGGCGGUAACGGAUGGGCGUGCGGUUGAUUAGGUAGUUGGCGGGGUAACGGCCCACCAAGCCUACGAUCAAUAGCUGAUGUGAGAGCAUGAUCAGCCACACGGGCACUGAGACACGGGCCCGACUCCUACGGGAGGCAGCAGUAAGGAAUAUUGGGCAAUGGACGCAAGUCUGACCCAGCCAUGCCGCGUGAAGGAUUAAGGUCCUCUGGAUUGUAAACUUCUUUUCUCUGGGGCGAAAACCAGCUAUUCUUAGCUGCUUGACAGUACCAGAGGAAUAAGCACCGGCUAACUCCGUGCCAGCCGCCGCCGUAAAAC
rnacentral:rRNA from 1 species